CCUAUGGCUUCUGUACUUGUAACAGGUAGCACAUGCUCGUCAUUUGCUGCUUGUUACUGCCUAACCACUUGCGUGCUGUUUGGUAACGUCCACGGUAAUGCAAAUGCAAAGAAAAAUAGUUUAAUCAUCUCUCCGGCCUGCGGUGACGUCCGCAGUUUUAAGUUGUUUACGUUUGCCUUACCAAGCAUAGAACCAUAGAACUCGUUGGUUCACGAACAACGAUAGGAUUUUUUUUUUUUGGCGAGGAACAAGGACAGAAUUAGUGUAAGCAGGAGAUUUGGUUCAUGCAAGUUAGGCAGCAGCUACUAUAUGGCGCACUGGCUGGUGAGAUCGUAGGAUUUGUCGAUUUGAUCUUGUCAAUCCCGGCCCCUCCAAUUCUCUUGGAUUUGGGAUUAAGGUCUUGUUUAGUUCUCACUUAAAAACUUUUCAUUCCAUCACAUCAAAUAUUUGAAUAAAUACAUAAAACAUUAAAUAUAGAUUAACAAAUAAUUAAUUAUACAGUUUACAUGUAUUAUACAAGACAAAUCAUUUAAGUCUAAAUAAUUUAUGAUUAAAUACUAAUUGUUAUAAUUAUAAAUGUACUAUAAUAAAAAACUUUUCUUUUCUUGAACUAAACAAGACGUUAAUCAAAUAACACUGUAAGCAUACACAGAAGCAGGGGAGAAAGCAAAACAGAGAGAGAGAGAUAGGGUAGCGAGGUGACUUCUCACUUCUCAGGCGAAGACAGAAGGCACGGGCGGCAGCGCGUCCUUUGCAGCAG
rnacentral:lncRNA from 1 species